rnacentral:rRNA from 1 species
UGCCAGCCGCCGCGAUAAUACGGCGGGGGUUAGCGUUCUUCGGAAUUACUGGGCGUAAAGGGCACGCAGGCGGACUGGAAAGUUGGGGGUGAAAUCCCAGGGCUCAACCCUGGAACUGCCUCCAAAACUAUCAGUCUAGAGUUCGCGAGAGGUGAGUGGAAUUCCGAGUGUAGAGGUGAAAUUCGUAGAUAUUCGGAGGAACACCAGUGGCGAAGGCGGCUCACUGGCUCGAUACUGACGCUGAGGUGCGAAAGUGUGGGGAGCAAACAGGAUUAGAUA